rnacentral:rRNA from 1 species
GACGAACGCUGGCGGCGUGCUUAACACAUGCAAGUCGAACGGAAAGGCCCUGCUUUUGUGGGGUGCUCGAGUGGCGAACGGGUGAGUAACACGUGAGUAACCUGCCCUUGACUUUGGGAUAACUUCAGGAAACUGGGGCUAAUACCGGAUAGGAGCUCCUGCUGCAUGGUGGGGGUUGGAAAGUUUCGUCGGUGGUGGAUGGACUUCGGGCUUAUUAGCUUGUUGGGGGGGUAGUCGCUUACCAAGGCUUCGACGGGUAGCCGGCCUGAGAGGGUGACCGGCCACAUGGGGACUGAGAUACGGCGCAGACUCCUACGGGAGGCAGCAGUGGGGAAUAUUGCACAGUGGGCGGGAGCCUGAUGCAGCAGUGCCGCGUGCGGGAUGACGGCUUUCGGGUUGUAAACCGCUUUCGCCUGUGACGAAGCGUGAGUGACGGUAAUGGGUAAAGAAGCACCGGCUAACUACGUG